AAUGCCAAACAAGCAUGAUGUGUUAUCACAUCUACAAGUUGCAUACAUGAAUGACAACAAGUGGCACAUUUCUGGACCCAAUAUUUUCUGCAACCAAUUAAUGUUCCAAAUUCAAAAUAUCUGUAUUCUAUCUCUUUUCUGACAUGAAGAAUAAGCCAAAUGAGUUUGGGUCUGCAUGAAAGCACUGUAGUACUAAGAGAUCCACAUCCUAUCCUUUGACAGUAUUGAUGUAUUUGUCAGUAGAAUCUACUGCUGUCUGUGUAGUUACUAGGUUGGCAUUGCCUUCUGCAUGGAUUUUUUUAAGAUGAAUUUCUCUUCAACAUCUCAGUGAACAUGAGGAUGAACUUCUGCUCAUCUGUACUGUUGGCUAAGAAGUGUUCUUUCUUCAUCUUGAUGGGAAUUCCUCUAAAAAAAGUUCACUUGAGUACUUACAACACCUUUUGUUCAUCAAAUAUGUAUAGUAUCUCUAAAAGAUGGACCAGUGCCAUAACUGUCAAAAACAAGAUGGGAUUAGUGUACUUGCAUUGAACAUAAUCUAAGUAGCUUUCAUGUUAUUUAUUGG